UGAUUCUGAAAUAAACUAAAUUAUGAUCAAUGAGAAUUAUGGAUAGAGAGAGAAAGAGAGCCAGACACAGAAAAAUGAAGGGAGCUUGAAUAUCAGUAGGUCACAGGAGUUUCAGUUCCGCUUAACAUAACAAGAACUUAUAAUGAAAGCAUAUACUACAACAUCAAUGAUAAAUGACAAGGAUAAAAACUGCCUAAAAAUACACGGAUAAUUUGAAACCUGGAGUAAAGAAUCAAAAACACACGGGAAAAAUGAGAAAGGGACCAUGAUCAUUAGUUUAUUCUCACUAGUUUGAUUUUACUUCAGUUAUGGAGAAUUAAGAAAGCUAAUUCAAAUUAAUCUACAUAUCAGAUUCAGGGCAUCUAAUCUUACAGUUUUUCUUAAAUUUUUUCCCUUUCCUGUUACUGUUAUUUAUUUAUUCAUCUCUUGCAAGAUCUGCUCCCCAUCGUGCAAUGACAAAUUA
rnacentral:misc_RNA from 1 species